rnacentral:rRNA from 1 species
UACGUAGGAGACGAGCGUUGUCCGGAGUUACUGGGCGUAAAGGGUGCGCAGGUGGCGGCGCGCGUGGGGGGGUGAAAUCGCCCGGCUUAACUGGGCGGGGGCCUUCCAGACGGCGUGGCUUGAGCAGCGGAGGGGGACGUGGAAUUCCGGGUGGAGCGGUGAAAUGCGUAGAGAUCCGGAGGAACACCGACGGCGCAGGCAGCGUCCUGGCCGCUUGCUGACACUGAGGCACGAAAGCUGGGGAGCAAACAGG